rnacentral:rRNA from 1 species
CUUGCUCCUUGGGUGACGAGUGGCGGACGGGUGAGUAAUGUCUGGGAAACUGCCCGAUGGAGGGGGAUAACUACUGGAAACGGUAGCUAAUACCGCAUAACGUCGCAAGACCAAAGAGGGGGACCUUCGGGCCUCUUGCCAUCGGAUGUGCCCAGAUGGGAUUAGCUAGUAGGUGGGGUAACGGCUCACCUAGGCGACGAUCCCUAGCUGGUCUGAGAGGAUGACCAGCCACACUGGAACUGAGACACGGUCCAGACUCCUACGGGAGGCAGCAGUGGGGAAUAUUGCACAAUGGGCGCAAGCCUGAUGCAGCCAUGCCGCGUGUAUGAAGAAGGCCUUCGGGUUGUAAAGUACUUUCAGCGAGGAGGAAGGUGUUGUGGUUAAUAACCGCAGCAAUUGACGUUACUCGCAGAAGAAGCACCGGCUAACUCCGUGCCAGCAGCCGCGGUAAUACGGAGGGUGCAAGCGUUAAUCGGAAUUACUGGGCGUAAAGCGCACGCAGGCGGUCUGUCAAGUCGGAUGUGAAAUCCCCGGGCUCAACCUGGGAACUGCAUCCGAAACUGGCAGGCUAGAGUCUUGUAGAGGGGGGUAGAAUUCCAGGUGUAGCGGUGAAAUGCGUAGAGAUCUGGAGGAAUACCGGUGGCGAAGGCGGCCCCCUGGACAAAGACUGACGCUCAGGUGCGAAAGCGUGGGGAGCAAACAGGAUUA